rnacentral:rRNA from 1 species
CACCAGACUCCUACGGGAGGCAGCAGUGGGGAAUAUUGCACAAUGGGGGAAACCCUGAUGCAGCGACGCCGCGUGAGCGAAGAAGUAUUUCGGUAUGUAAAGCUCUAUCAGCAGGGAAGAAAAUGACGGUACCUGACUAAGAAGCCCCGGCUAACUACGUGCCAGCAGCCGCGGUAAUACGUAGGGGGCAAGCGUUAUCCGGAUUUACUGGGUGUAAAGGGAGCGUAGACGGCAAUGCAAGCCAGAUGUGAAAGCCCGGGGCUCAACCCCGGGACUGCAUUUGGAACUGUGUAGCUGGAGUGUCGGAGAGGCAGGCGGAAUUCCUAGUGUAGCGGUGAAAUGCGUAGAUAUUAGGAGGAACACCAGUGGCGAAGGCGGCCUGCUGGACGAUGACUGACGUUGAGGCUCGAAAGCGUGGGGAGCAAACAGGAUUAGAUACCCUAGUAGCC